AUGCCUGGGGCUUCAUCCACACCUGGGGCAUCAUCAACUGCUGGGACAUCAUCCACUGCUGUGGCAUCAUCCAUGCCUGGGGCAUCAUCCACUGCUGGAACAUCAUCCACUGCUGGGACAUCAUCCACUGCUGGGACAUCAUCCAUGCCUGGGGCAUCAUCCACUGCUGGGACAUCAUCCACGCCUGGGGUAUCAUCCACUGCUGGGGCAUUAUCCAACCCUGGGGCAUCAUCCACUGCUGUGGCAUCAUCCACGCCUGGAGCAUCAUCCACACCUGGGGCAUCAUCCACUGCUGGAACAUCAUCAACUGCUGGGACAUCAUCUACUGCUGGGACAUCCACACCUGAAGCAUCAUCCACACCUGGGGCAUCAUCCACUGCUGGAACAUCAUUGACUGCUGGGACAUCAUCCACUGCUGUGGCAUCAUCCAUGCCUGAAACAUUAUCCACUGCUGGGGCAUCAUCCACUGCUGGGACAUCAUCUACGCCUCAGGCAUCAUCCAUUGCUGGGGCUUCAUCCACUCCUGGGGCAUCAUCGAUGCCUCGGCCAUCAUCCACUGCUGGGACAUCAUCCACGUUUGGGGUAUCCACUGCUGGGGCAUUAUCCAUCCCUGUGGCAUCAUCUUCUGUGGCAUCAUCCACGACCAGAGCAUCAUCCACACCUGGGGCAUCAUCCACUGCUGGGACAUCAUCGACUGCUGGUACAUCAUCCACGCCUGGGGCAUCAUCCAUAGAUGGGCAUCAUUUAUGCCUGGAGCAUCUUCCAUACCUGGGGCAUCAUCCACUGCUGGGACAUCAUCCACCGCUGGGACAUCAUCCACUGCUGGGACACCAUCCAUGCCUGGGGCAUCAUCCACUGCUGGGACAUCAUCCACACCUGGGACAUCAUCCACACCUGGGGCAUCAUCCACUGCUGUGGCAUCAUCCAUGCCUGGAACGUCAUCCACUGCUGGGACGUCAUCCACUGCUGGGACGUCAUCCACUGCUGGGACGACAUCCACUGCUGGGACAUCCACACCCGGGGCAUCAUCCACACCUGGGGCAUCAUCCACUGCUGUGGCAUCAUCCACACCUGGGGCAUCAUCCACGCCUGGGGCAUCAUCCACUGCUGGGACAUCAUUUACUGCUGGGACAUCAUCCAUGCCUGGGGCAUCAUCCACUGCUGGGACAUCAUUUAUGCCUGGGACAUCAUCCACGCCUGGGGCAUCAUCCACACCUAGAGCAUCAUCCAGGCCUGGGGCAUCAUCCACUGCUGGGACAUCAUCCACUGCUGGGACAUCAUCCAUGCCUGGGGCAUCAUCGACUGCUGGGAUAUCAUCCACGCCUGGGGUAUCAUUUACUGCUUGGGCAUUAUCCAUUCCUGGGGCAUCAUCCACUGCUGUGGCAUCAUCCACGCCUGGAGCAUCAUCCACACCUGCGGCAUCAUCCACUGCUGGAACAUCAUCGACUGCUGGGACAUCAUCCACUGCUGGGACAUCAUCCACUGCUGGGACAUCCAUGCCUGGGGCAUCAUCCACACCUGGGGCAUCAUCCACUGGUGGGACAUCAUCCACUGCUGUGGCAUCAUCCACUGCUGGGACAUCAUCCAUGCCUGGAACAUCAUCCACUGCUGGGACAUCAUCCACUGCUGAGACAUUUACGCCUAGGAAAUCAUCCACUAUUGGGACAUCAUUUAUGCCUGGGGCAUCAUCCACGCAUGGGGCAUCAUCCACUGCUGGGACAUCAUCCGUGCCUGGGGCAUCAUCCACUGCUGGGACAUCAUCCACUGUUGUGGCAUCAUCCAUGCCUGGGGCAUCAUCCAUAG
rnacentral:lncRNA from 1 species